rnacentral:lncRNA from 1 species
GGGGGGGGGGGGGGGGGGGGGGGGGGGGGGGGGGGGGGGGGGGGGGGGGGGGGGGGGGGGGGGGGGGGGGGGGGGGGGGGGGGGGCUGAGGGCACGGGGAGCGGCCGGGCCGCCCUCAGAGGGGUCCCCGCGGCCGGGGCGGGCUCCGGAGGGGAAAGGGAAAGGAAAAAGGAAAGGAAAGGAAAAAGGAAAAGCGGGAGAAUCCCCGCGGGAGGGCCCCUGAGGGGCAGCGGGGCCCGGCUGUGCUGAGGUGGAGCAAGGCCAAGGACAGGAAUCCUUCAGUUGCCACGAUUUUUUUUUCCCUUGGAAUGCCAGGACAAGGGGGAUGGAUUCAGGCUGGAAAAGAGCAGGGAUUCUUUUCCAGGUGCUGCUGGAUGAGGAUCCAAGCCCAAAUGCUGCUCUUUUCCAAGGAUUUUUGGGAUUUCUAAACUCUUCCCAUCAGCUGGAGCAGAACUCAGGGCAGGAUGAAGAUAAAGUCUCAGCUGUGAACAUGGAAAAAUUCCAGGAAUGUGGAUGAAAACAGCAAGAAUUCCAUUGGGAAUGGGGCGGGAAAGGCUGGGUCUAACUCCAGGUAAAAAUUCCAAUUUUAGGAAAAUAUUUGGAUUUUUGGGGUGGAAUUUUAGGAUUGGCUGAGAAAUCCUUGAUGGGAAUGAAUAUUCCAAAUUUUUUUGAAAUGUUUGGGUUUUGGGAAUGAGGCAAAAUUUGAUCUGAGCUCU